GCAGCCUUCGUGUGCAUAGUUUCCAUCUGUGUCUGGUAGCAUUGUCUGUUUGUGUUUUGCAUUCAGAUGCUGCUGCCCACACAUAAUCCUGCAGCCAGAAAGAAAAAUGGGAUCAUAGUACUGGCCUAGUGACGUCUUUUUGGACAAACCUACCACUGGUCAGCCUCCGAACUCCCAGACAUAU